rnacentral:rRNA from 1 species
GGGGAAUUUUCCGCAAUGGGCGAAAGCCUGACGGAGCAAUACCGCGUGAGGGAUGACGGCCUAUGGGUUGUAAACCUCUUUUUUCAGGGAGGAACAAAAUGACGUGUACCUGAAGAAUAAGCAUCGGCUAACUCCGUGCCAGCAGCCGCGGUAAUACGGAGGAUGCAAGCGUUAUCCGGAAUUAUUGGGCGUAAAGCGUCCGCAGGUGGUCUUUCAAGUCUGCUGUCAAAGACUGGAGCUUAACUCCGGAAAGGCGGUGGAAACUGAGAGACUAGAGUACGGUAGGGGUAGCGGGAAUUCCCAGUGUAGCGGUGAAAUGCGUAGAUAUUGGGAAGAACAUCGGUGGCGAAGGCGCGCUACUGGACCGAAACUGACACUCAGGGACGAAAGCUAGGGGAGCGAAAGGGAUUAGAUACCCCUGUAGUC